rnacentral:rRNA from 1 species
GACGAACGCUGGCGGCGUGCUUAACACAUGCAAGUCGAGCGGAAAGGCCCUUCGGGGUACUCGAGCGGCGAACGGGUGAGUAACACGUGAGCAAUCUGCCCUUAGCUUCGGGAUAGCUCCGGGAAACCGGAAUUAAUACCGAAUAUGACCGUAGUCGACAUCAGCUACGGUGGAAAGUUUUUCGGCUAGGGAUGAGCUCGCGGCCUAUCAGCUAGUUGGUGGGGUAACGGCCUACCAAGGCGACGACGGGUAGCCGGCCUGAGAGGGCGACCGGCCACACUGGGACUGAGACACGGCCCAGACUCCUACGGGAGGCAGCAGUGGGGAAUAUUGCGCAAUGGGCGAAAGCCUGACGCAGCGACGCCGCGUGAGGGAUGAAGGCCUUCGGGUUGUAAACCUCUUUCAGCAGGGACGAAGGGCAACUGACGGUACCUGCAGAAGAAGCUCCGGCUAACUACGUGCCAGCAGCCGCCGUAAAAC